rnacentral:lncRNA from 10 species
GUGGCAGAAAUGGAGUGGGGUUUGGAGGGGGUGAGCAGACCCAUCUAUACCACGUACAAGCUAUGGAAGCUUGGGCACCUCAUCUACAUUCUCAGAACCUCAGUUUCCCAACCUGUCAAAUGGGAGAAACAGUGCAUAAAGAGUGGAUUGUCGGGGAAUUUGUCAAGGUAAUAAUGCACAGAACACCUAGAAAAGUGCCGAGCCCAGCACAGACACUGCUUUCUCCUUCUUGCCAUAGGCCGCAGUGGGCUGUAGGGCUUCACUGGAUU